GCCCUGGUAGCUCAGAGAUAGAGCUCUUGUAUGUGGUAAGCGAAAGCGCCUAGCAAUAACUGUCAGGAGGUUACAGGUUCGAAUCCUGCCCGGUGGCU